rnacentral:misc_RNA from 1 species
GGCAAUUUUGACAACUAAACACAUCAUAGACCAUUUUGAUAAAUUUCACAUGGAAGAUUAUUUUCACUCAUCCUCUUCAUUUUGCUGAACUGAUUCAGAGAUGAAAAACUAUUAAGUCUAUCAAGAUAGGCUUCAAAAAAAUGCAAUAAGGUUGGCUUUGAAACCUAUAUCACCAACAACUAAUGCAUUGCCAGCCUCACGUACACAACUUUUAGGAAAAAUAAUAAUAAUGUAUCCUUCUCAUUCAGCCAAAUAGUGCUCAAAUAGGAGAAAGCCUAGUUGUAUCCACAAAGGUGUAAAAGAGAAGAUAAUGGAAUC